UACGGGGGGGGGCAAGCGUUGUUCGGAAUUACUGGGCGUAAAGGGCUCGUAGGCGGCCAACUAAGUCAGACGUGAAAUCCCUCGGCUUAACCGGGGAACUGCGUCUGAUACUGGAUGGCUCGAGUUUGGGAGAGGGAUGCGGAAUUCCAGGUGUAGCGGUGAAAUGCGUAGAUAUCUGGAGGAACACCGGUGGCGAAGGCGGCAUCCUGGACCAACACUGACGCUGAUGAGCGAAAGCCAGGGGAGCAAACAGG
rnacentral:rRNA from 1 species